rnacentral:snRNA from 1 species
GUGCUCACUUUGGCAGCACAUAUAGCAAACCUGGGAUGAUACAGAGAUUAGCAUGGUCCCUUGUACAAGGAUGCCACGUAGAAGAUCCCCAUGUGAUU